AAAUUGAAGAGUUUGAUCAUGGCUCAGAUUGAACGCUGGCGGCAGGCCUAACACAUGCAAGUCGAACGGUAACAGGAAGCAGCUUGCUGCUUUGCUGACGAGUGGCGGACGGGUGAGUAAUGUCUGGGAAACUGCCUGAUGGAGGGGGAUAACUACUGGAAACGGUGGCUAAUACCGCAUAACGUCGCAAGACCAAAGAGGGGGACCUUCGGGCCUCUUGCCAUCAGAUGUGCCCAGAUGGGAUUAGCUUGUUGGUGAGGUAACGGCUCACCAAGGCGACGAUCCCUAGCUGGUCUGAGAGGAUGACCAGCCACACUGGAACUGAGACACGGUCCAGACUCCUACGGGAGGCAGCAGUGGGGAAUAUUGCACAAUGGGCGCAAGCCUGAUGCAGCCAUGCCGCGUGUAUGAAGAAGGCCUUCGGGUUGUAAAGUACUUUCAGCGGGGAGGAAGGUGUUGUGGUUAAUAACCGCAGCAAUUGACGUUACCCGCAGAAGAAGCACCGGCUAACUCCGUGCCAGCAGCCGCGGUAAUACGGAGGGUGCAAGCGUUAAUCGGAAUUACUGGGCGUAAAGCGCACGCAGGCGGUCUGUCAAGUCGGAUGUGAAAUCCCCGGGCUCAACCUGGGAACUGCAUUCGAAACUGGCAGGCUUGAGUCUUGUAGAGGGGGUAGAAUUCCAGGUGUAGCGGUGAAAUGCGUAGAGAUCUGGAGGAAUACCGGUGGCGAAGGCGGCCCCCUGGACAAAGACUGACGCUCAGGUGCGAAAGCGUGGGGAGCAAACAGGAUUAGAUACCCUGGUAGUCCACGCCGUAAACGAUGUCUACUUGGAGGUUGUGCCCUUGAGGCGUGGCUUCCGGAGCUAACGCGUUAAGUAGACCGCCUGGGGAGUACGGCCGCAAGGUUAAAACUCAAAUGAAUUGACGGGGGCCCGCACAAGCGGUGGAGCAUGUGGUUUAAUUCGAUGCAACGCGAAGAACCUUACCUGGUCUUGACAUCCACAGAAGAAUCCAGAGAUGGAUUUGUGCCUUCGGGAACUGUGAGACAGGUGCUGCAUGGCUGUCGUCAGCUCGUGUUGUGAAAUGUUGGGUUAAGUCCCGCAACGAGCGCAACCCUUAUCCUUUGUUGCCAGCGAUUAGGUCGGGAACUCAAAGGAGACUGCCAGUGAUAAACUGGAGGAAGGUGGGGAUGACGUCAAGUCAUCAUGGCCCUUACGACCAGGGCUACACACGUGCUACAAUGGCGCAUACAAAGAGAAGCGACCUCGCGAGAGCAAGCGGACCUCAUAAAGUGCGUCGUAGUCCGGAUUGGAGUCUGCAACUCGACUCCAUGAAGUCGGAAUCGCUAGUAAUCGUGGAUCAGAAUGCCACGGUGAAUACGUUCCCGGGCCUUGUACACACCGCCCGUCACACCAUGGGAGUGGGUUGCAAAAGAAGUAGGUAGCUUAACCUUCGGGAGGGCGCUUACCACUUUGUGAUUCAUGACUGGGGUGAAGUCGUAACAAGGUAACCGUAGGGGAACCUGCGGUUGGAUCACCUCCUUA
rnacentral:rRNA from 1 species